GUUUAAUGAUGAUGUUUUGCGCGGUUGUUGUGUCUGCCAUAAUCAUAAUUCUUAUGCUUAUCUUUGCUUGUGGAGACUCUAACAACGUCGACGAGGAUGUUAGGACCCAGUGGUCUCCGAACAUCAUAGCACCAUAUUCAGGCGGUGCAGCCGCAAAUGGUAUCAUCUCAGCCGCGGCCGCGGCUAAUGCGGCGGCCGCGGUUGAUGCGGCCACGGGUUUCCUCUCAGCCAUGGCCACGGCAAAUUUGAUCGCAUCAGCAACUGCUAUGGGCGGUGGAGGCGGCGGCGGCGGCUGUUAAAUAUGAAGAUGAGUAGCGUUGGAUUUAUGAUUUGAAUUACCUUUAGACUGGAAUAUGAAUUUUGGAUAUUAUGUACUCUUGAAUAUCUUUGUAUUUUCGUAAAGUGACAAAGUGUAUACUAUAAAGUGUAAAUUCCAUUUGUGA